rnacentral:rRNA from 1 species
AUCAACUUUCGAUGGUAGGAUAGAGGCCUACCAUGGUGGUAACGGGUAACGGGGUGUUAGGGCACGACACCGGAGAGGGAGCCUGAGAAACGGCUACCACAUCCAAGGGUGGCAGCAGGCGCGCAAAUUACCCAAUCCCGACACGGGGAGGUAGUGACAAUAAAUAACAAUACGGGGUCCUUACGGGUCUCGUAAUUGGAAUGAGUACAAUUUAAAUCUCUUAACGAGGAACAAUUGGAGGGCAAGUCUGGUGCCAGCAGCCGCGGUAAUUCCAGCUCCAAUGGCGUAUAUUAAAGUUGUUGCAGUUAAAAAGCUCGUAGUUGAAUUUCGGGAUCAGUACGCUGGUCAUGCCUUUGGUAUGCACUGGUGUCACUGGUUUCUCCCUUCUGAAGAACCGUGAUGUCAUUAAUUUGGUGUCGCGGGGAAUCAGGACUGUUACUUUGAAAAAAUUAGAGUGUUUAAAGCAGGCUCACGCUUGAAUACGUUAGCAUGGAAUAAUGAAAUAGGACGUUUGACCCUAUUUUGUUGGUUUCUAGGAUCGACGUAAUGAUUAAUAGGGAUAGUUGGGGGCAUUAGUAUUCAAUUGUCAGAGGUGAAAUUCUUGGAUUUAUUGAAGACUAACUACUGCGAAAGCAUUUGCCAAGGAUGUUUUCAUUAAUCAAGAACGAAAGUUAGGGGAUCGAAGACGAUCAGAUACCGUCGUAGUCUUAACCAUAAACUAUGCCGACUAGGGAUCGGAUGAUGUUAAUUUUAUAAUGACUCAUUCGGCGCCUUACGGGAAACCAAAGUGUUUGGGUUC